rnacentral:lncRNA from 1 species
UGUUUUUUCUACUUUUUAAAAUUUUAUUUUUAUUUCUUCAUACAUUGUGUUUUUCGGUUUUUCUGUGUGCAUCCAUUUGUUUGUCCCUACGUCCGUCUGUCCUGCUUUAGGUUAAAGUUUUUGGUCAAGGUAGUUUUUGAUUAACUUGAAACUUAGUACACAUCUUUCUAAUGUUAAUGCCAAAUUAGGUUUUGACUCAACAUAGAAAACGAUUGUGCAGUUGGGGCAUCAGUGUUCUAUGGACACAUUAUUUUUUAUAUUUUAUUUCUCAAUAUGAUAUUUUCUUUCAAUUAACUAUACUAUUUGGUAAAUCCAUAAAUAUAAAAAUUAUUUCAUAUUAUGUAUAGAAACCAAGUUAUUGAUCAUGUUAAUACAUACUCCUUUGGGCCUCUAGUCUUUAGCUCACCUGGCCUAAAAGGCCAAGUGAGCUUUUCUCAUCACUUGGCAUUCAUCGUCCGUCGUCGUCCGUUGUCAAAAACUCUGAAACCAAAGCAUUUGGAGCAAAUUGGACAAGGGGUUAAAUUGUUUAUCAAGUCAAGAUCUAUCUGCCCU